rnacentral:rRNA from 1 species
UGAGGAAUAUUGGGCAAUGCCGCAAGGGUGACCCAGCAACGCCGCGUGGAGGAUGAAUGUCGUAAGAUUGUAAACUCCUGUUAGAGGGGAAGAAUAGUACCGGUUGGACCGGUAUAUGACUGUACCCUCAGAGAAAGCCCCGGCUAACUACGUGCCAGCAGCCGCGUUAAUACGUAGGGGGCAAGCGUUGUCCGGAUUUACUGGGUGUAAAGGGCGCGCAGGCGGGAUAAAAAGUCAGUGGUGAAAUCCUACAGCUUAACUGUAGAACUGCCUUUGAUACUUUUAUUCUUGAGUUCGGGAGAGAGAGACGGAAUUCCAGGUGUAGUGGUGAAAUACGUAGAUAUCUGGAAGAACACCAGUUGCGAAGGCGGUCUCUUGGUCCGACACUGACGCUGAGGCGCGAAAGCGUGGGGAGCAAACA